GUGCCAGCCGCCGCGGUAAUACGUAGGUGGCGAGCGUUGUCCGGAAUUAUUGGGCGUAAAGAGCAUGUAGGCGGGACUUUAAGUCUGUUGUUAAAAUGCGGGGCUCAACCCCGUAGUGCGAUGGAAACUGGAGUUCUUGAGUGCAGGAGAGGAAAGGGGAAUUCCCAGUGUAGCGGUGAAAUGCGUAGAUAUUGGGAGGAACACCAGUGGCGAAGGCGCCUUUCUGGACUGUGUCUGACGCUGAGAUGCGAAAGCCGAGGGAGCGAACGGGAUUAGAUACCCCGGUAGUCCUGGCCGUAAACGAUGGGUACUAGGUGUAGGGGUAUCGA
rnacentral:rRNA from 1 species